UACGGAGGGUGCAAGCGUUAUUCGGAAUUAUUGGGCGUAAAGGGCGCGUAGGCGGCCUCUUAAGUCGGAUGUGAAAGCCCGGGGCUUAACCCCGGAAGUGCAUUCGAUACUGGGUGGCUUGAGUAUGGGAGAGGGAAGUGGAAUUCCUGGUGUAGAGGUGAAAUUCGUAGAUAUCAGGAGGAACACCGGUGGCGAAGGCGACUUCCUGGACCAAUACUGACGCUGAGGCGCGAAGGCGUGGGGAG
rnacentral:rRNA from 1 species